rnacentral:lncRNA from 1 species
AUGAGUCUGAAGAAUGUUCCAGCUGCAAACCUCAAUGUGGUCAAUGCCAGUGCCUACAGCCAGGGGCUGAGGGAAGGAGGAGGUUGUAAGUGGAGCUGUUGUGUCCCCCACUUGGAAACCCCUCUGAGGAGAGAAGAGAUGGAUCCCGACCCUUCGGUUUCACCUCCUGUGUUUCUCCAACACUCAAGUGGGCUCCACCACCCAAGCCUCUCUGGUGGCUUCAGGAAACCAGCCCGUCCUCUUCGUGUACCUCUUCUGUGUGCACCUGGCUAUGGGCGCCCGGUAGCCUCGUUGACCCUUACAGGCACUUAUGUUGUGUGCUGA